rnacentral:rRNA from 1 species
UACGGAGGGUGCGAGCGUUAAUCGGAAUUACUGGGCGUAAAGCGUGCGUAGGCGGUUUGGUAAGUCGGGUGUGAAAGCCCCGGGCUUAACCUGGGAAUUGCAUUCGAUACUGUCUGACUCGAGUCUGGGAGAGGGAAGCGGAAUUCCGGGUGUAGCGGUGAAAUGCGUAGAUAUCCGGAGGAACAUCAGUGGCGAAGGCGGCUUCCUGGCCUAAGACUGACGCUGAGGUACGAAAGCGUGGGGAGCAAACAGG